CCCUUAGAUGUCCGGGGCCGCACGCGCGCUACACUGAAGGAAUCAGCGUGGCUUUCUCCCUGACCCGAAAGGGUUGGGAAACCCGUUGAAUCUCCUUCGUGAUAGGGAUUGGGGCUUGAAAUUGUUCCCCAUGAACGAGGAAUUCCCAGUAAGCGCGAGUCAUAAGCUCGCGUUGAUUACGUCCCUGCCCUUUGUACACACCGCCCGUCGCUACGACCGAUUGAACGGUUUAGUGAGGGCCUCGGAUUGGUCUCGGCCCGCUCUUUACCGGGCGGCGCCGUUGGUCGAGAAGACGCUCGAACUUGAUCGUUUAGAGGAAGUAAAAGUCGUAACA
rnacentral:rRNA from 1 species